AGAGAGGGAUAAAGGAGGCUCAAAUUAGUUUUGAUUUAAAUAAUAAUAAUAAUCUAUGAGCUAGAAAAUUGGGUCAUAUUAAUUGCAUAUAAAAUAAAAAUGAAAGCACUACCUUAUGGAUGGAAAGAUAUGUGGAAAGGAAAACAUGAAUGCAGGUAACCUAAGUAAUGACUGUCAACAAAAAGACCAUUUCAUAUCAUUGAGGUUGAGAGAAUAAACACAUUUUGCAGCAACUGCAUCUCCUCAUUUGUCUGUUAAAGCUUCCUGUAUAAGCUGGCUGGUGGCGAUGAAGGGAAAUGUCUCUCACCACGCAACUCAUCAUGGGAUGCAUCAGGACAUAGUGACAAUUGUCACACACAGGAUUUAGAAUUUUAUGGACCUAGAUCUGGGUUCAUACUCCCUAACCCAUGGUAUUCUGUGAACUUGAUACAUUGCUAUCCCCUCUGAAUUUUACUUUUCUCAUCAUAAAAAGUGAGAA